rnacentral:rRNA from 1 species
AGCGAACGUUAGCGGCGGGCCUAACACAUGCAAGUCGAACGCGAAAGGUCUUCGGACUGAGUAGAGUGGCGCACGGGUGAGUAACACGUAGGUAAUCUACCCUUUGGCGGGGGAUAACGUUCCGAAAGGAGCGCUAAUACCGCAUAAGACCACGGAGUCUCCGGACGCUGUGGGAAAAGGUGGCCUCUUCUUGAAAGCUACCACCGAAGGAUGAGCCUGCGUCCCAUCAGCUAGUUGGUAAGGUAAUGGCUCACCAAGGCGAAGACGGGUAGCUGGUUUGAGAGAAUGAUCAGCCACACUGGCACUGGAACACGGGCCAGACUCCUACGGGAGGCAGCAGUGAGGAAUAUUGGGCAAUGGGCGAAAGCCUGACCCAGCCACGCCGCGUGAGUGAUGAAGGCCCUCGGGUCGUAAAGCUCUGUGGAGAGGGACGAAAACCCUGGUUUCAAAUAGGCUCCAGGCUUGACGGUACCUCUUUAGCAAGCACCGGCUAACUCUGUGCCAGCA